rnacentral:rRNA from 1 species
UACGUAGGGUGCGAGCGUUAAUCGGAAUUACUGGGCGUAAAGCGUGCGCAGGCGGUGAUAUAAGACCGAUGUGAAAUCCCCGGGCUUAACCUGGGAACUGCAUUGGUGACUGCAUCGCUCGAGUAUGGCAGAGGGGGGUAGAAUUCCACGUGUAGCAGUGAAAUGCGUAGAGAUGUGGAGGAAUACCGAUGGCGAAGGCAGCCCCCUGGGUCAAUACUGACGCUCAUGCACGAAAGCGUGGGGAGCAAACAGG